rnacentral:rRNA from 1 species
AGAUAAAAUACUUUUAUCGCAUGGUAGAAGUAUCAAAGCUUUUGCGGUACAGGAUGGACCCGCGUCUGAUUAGCUAGUUGGUAAGGUAACGGCUUACCAAGGCGACGAUCAGUAGCCGACCUGAGAGGGUGAUCGGCCACAUUGGAACUGAGACACGGUCCAAACUCCUACGGGAGGCAGCAGUGGGGAAUAUUGCACAAUGGGCGAAAGCCUGAUGCAGCAACGCCGCGUGAGCGAUGAAGGCCUUCGGGUCGUAAAGCUCUGUCCUCAAGGAAGAUAAUGACGGUACUUGAGGAGGAUUUUUUUGCUAACUACGUGCCAGCAGCCGCGGUAAUACGUAGGGGGCUAGCGUUAUCCGGAAUUACUGGGCGUAAAGGGUGCGUAGGUGGUUUCUUAAGUCAGAGGUGAAAGGCUACGGCUCAACCGUAGUAAGCCUUUGAAACUGGGGAACUUGAGUGCAGGAGAGGAGAGUGGAAUUCCUAGUGUAGCGGUGAAAUGCGUAGAUAUUAGGAGGAACACCAGUUGCGAAGGCGGCUCUCUGGACUGUAACUGACACUGAGGCACGAAAGCGUGGGGAGCAAACAGGAUUAGAUACCCUGGUAGUCCACGCCGUAAACGAUGAGUACUAGCUGUCGGAGGUUACCCCCUU